UACGGGGGGGGCAAGCGUUGUUCGGAAUUACUGGGCGUAAAGGGCUCGUAGGCGGCCAACUAAGUCAGACGUGAAAUCCCUCGGCUUAACCGGGGAACUGCGUCUGAUACUGGAUGGCUUGAGGUUGGGAGAGGGAUGCGGAAUUCCAGGUGUAGCGGUGAAAUGCGUAGAUAUCGUAAGGAAGACCAGUGGCGAAGGCGGGUCUCUGGACAGUUCCUGACGCUGAGGCACGAAGGCCAGGGAGCAAACGGG
rnacentral:rRNA from 1 species